rnacentral:rRNA from 1 species
CCGGCACGGGUGAGUAACACGUAUGCAACCUGCCCUCUUCAGGGGGACAACCUUCCGAAAGGGAGGCUAAUCCCGCGUAUAUCGGUUUCGGGCAUCCGAGAUCGAGGAAAGAUUCAUCGGAAGAGGAUGGGCAUGCGGCGCAUUAGCUAGACGGCGGGGUAACGGCCCACCGUGGCGACGAUGCGUAGGGGUUCUGAGAGGAAGGUCCCCCACACUGGUACUGAGACACGGACCAGACUCCUACGGGAGGCAGCAG